CUCAAGCAAGGAAAGAAGUAAGGUGAAGAACUCAUGGCUAUCCUGCUGAACUCCAUUAUCCAACUCCAGUGUCUUUAUAAAAGGAGCUGAGUCAAUAGAAGCCAUUUUACUAGUAUGCAACUGUGCAAAAAGCCGUGCGAGCUGAUCCAAAACAGGAUGCUGUUUCAGUACCUCUGGCUCAACAGAGAAAACACCUUCUCGUAAAGAUUUAUUCAUUUAAAGACAUUGAAGUAUGCUGUUGGCAUAGCAUGUUGCUCCCAGAUUAGUGAGGCCAGCAGGUGAAUCAGCCGAAUCACGAAGAACUUUGCAUGGAUCUGGACCAAGGGCUUGAACAAUA
rnacentral:misc_RNA from 1 species